GGGUGCGUAACGCGUAUGCAACUACCUUAUACAGGGGAAUAACCUUUCGAAAGGGAGACUAACACCCCAUGGUAUUGAUUUAAGGCAUCUUAGAUUAAUUAAAUAUUUAUAGGUAUAAGAUGGGCAUGCGUAUGAUUAGCUAGUUGGUAAGGUAACGGCUUACCAAGGCGACGAUCAUUAGGGGUUCUGAGAGGAAGGUCCCCCACACUGGUACUGAGACACGGACCAGACUCCUACGGGAGGCAGCAGUGAGGAAUAUUGGUCAAUGGGCGCAAGCCUGAACCAGCCAUGCCGCGUGCAGGAAGACGGCCUUAUGGGUUGUAAACUGCUUUUACAUAAGACUAACCGUAUAUUUGCGAAUAUACCUGAAUGUAUUAUGAGAAUAAGGAUCGGCUAACUCCGUGCCAGCCGCCGC
rnacentral:rRNA from 1 species